CGAUGAAGAACGCAGCGAAAUGCGAUAAGUAAUGUGAAUUGCAGAAUUCAGUGAAUCAUCGAAUCUUUGAACGCACCUUGCGCUCUUUGGUAUUCCGAAGAGCAUGCCUGUUUGAGUGUCAUGAAAAUAUCAACCUUGACUUGGGUUUAGUGCUCUUGUCUUGGCUUGGAUUUGGCUGUUUGCCGCUCGAAAGAGUCGGCUCAGCUUAAAAGUAUUAGCUGGAUCUGUCUUUGAGACUUGGUUUGACUUGGCGUAAUAAGUUAUUUCGCUGAGGACAAUCUUCGGAUUGGCCGAGUUUCUGGGACGUUUGUCCGCUUUCUAAUACAAGUUCUAGCUUGCUAGACAUGACUUUUUUAUUAUCUGGCCUCAAAUCAGGUAGGACUACCCGCUGAACUUAAGCAUAUCAAUA
rnacentral:rRNA from 1 species